UCCCUGGUGGCUUAGAAGGUAAAUAAUCUGCCUGAAAUGCAGCAAACCCAGGUUUGAUCCCUGGCUCAGGAA
rnacentral:tRNA from 1 species